rnacentral:rRNA from 1 species
ACUAGGAUUUAUCCUGGGGUCACAAUGGGCUUGAUUUGCAAACUUUAUUUAGCGAGGAACAAUUGGAGGGCAAGUCUGGUGCCAGCAGCCGCGGUAAUUCCAGCUCCAAUAGUGUAUAUUAAUGUUCCUGCAGUUAUUCGAUGCUCGUAGUUGGAUUUCUGGGGGCUGAGAUUGGAAGGUGGCCAAGGUCACCGCCGAACUCUUCCUUCAUCCACCUGUUAACGUUGUCCGGGAUUUGUUUCUCGGCUUCAGGCUCAGGUAUUUUACCCUUUCUAUAUAUUCAUUUAUUUAUCUUCUUUUUGAGUAAAUUAUAGUGUUUCAGGCAGGCGUGCGCCGGAAUACUUUAGCAUGGAAUAAUCGAAUUGGACCGUGUAUUCUUAUAGAAUUCUUCCUUAUUUGUUGGUUUCAAGGACACGGAAAUGGUUAAUAGGGAUAGUGUUUUCAGGGGAGGCAUUAGUAUUUAAUUUCCAGAGGUGAAAUUCUUUGAAAUAUUAAAGACUAACUUAUGCGAAAGCAUUUAUUUUGCCAAUAAUGUUUUCAUUAAUCAUUGAACGAAAGUUAGGGGAUCAAAGACGAUCAGAUACCGUCCUAGUCUUAACCAUAAACGUUGCCGACUAGGGAUCGGAGGGCGUGCACAUUCCGCCUUCGGCACCUUACGAGAAAUCAAAGUCUUUUGGGUUCUGGGGGUAGUAUGGUCGCAAGGCUGAAACUUAAAGGAAUUGACGGAAGGGCACCACCAGGAGUGGAGCUUGCGGCUCAAUUUGACUCAACACGGGAAAUCUUACCAGGUCCAGACAUAGCGAGGAUUGACAGAUUGAUAGCUCUUUCUUGAUUCUAUGGGUAUUUAUUUUAAUUUUGGUGGUGCAUGGCCGUUCUUAGUUGGUGGAGUGAUUUGUCUGGUUAAUUCCGUUAAACGAACGAGACCUCAGCCUGCUAAAUAGUUACCUGUCUUUCUUUUACGAGACUUGAUAACUUCUUAGAGGGACGUUGUGUGCAACCACAAGGAAGUUGAGGCAAUAACAGGUCUGUGAUGCCCUUAGAUGUCCUGGGCCGCACGCGUGCUACACUGAUACGUACAACAAGGUAUAUGCAUUUAUGCAUCGAUGCUGCUCCGAAAUAGACACAGCUAAAUCUUCUAAAAUACGUAUCGUGCUGCGGAUAGAUCGUUGAAAUUAUGGAUCUUGAAGGUGGAAUUCCUAGUAAGCGCGGGUCAUCAACCCGCGUUGAUUACGUCCCUGCCCUUUGUACACACCGCCCGUCGCUCCUACCAAUUUCGAGUGGCUCGGUGAACCUCUUUGGACUGUCGAGCAAUCGCGAAAUUAGAGUGAACCUGGUCAC